GCGCAGUGUGUUCGAACCUGGCUUCUAAUAUUGUGCACCCUUGCAGCAGUGCACACUUGAAAAUGAACACUGUCAUAUUAGCGAUAUGAGUUAUAUACUGUAGGCCUACAGGAAUACUCCCCUUUAAGAACGCACGAGCGUGAGCGUGGUAGACUUGGGCGUGUGUCGGCUAAUAAAGCGUCACCUGACCCUGACCUAACACUGACUGCACUGAGGGAAGAGAGGACAGAACCGCAGACAGAUAGACACUCUAAAUAAACGAACGAGUGGAUUAAAUACACAAUUAUUUCCAACAUCUCCAUCUCAUAUAGUAGCCUAUUCCGCGUCCUUGGAUUGGUGCGCCGGUCAGUGUUGGCUACUGCCACAGGGGGAAGAGGCGCAACUGCUGUAGACAAAGAGAGAAGGGCAACGCGCCUAUCAGACAUUCCUGAUCAGAAAAAAAGAUCCGGUAGGAAUAUUUUAACCCACGAGCCGACAAGGACACUGUGCGUCAUUACUACAAAACGGUUAUUUUGAAAGCUCUACAUUCUACCCGUGCAUUUACCUCCUCCGGUUUACCGUUUUGCGUGGGGAGUGGAAACACUUGACCGUCAAUUCGAUGUUCCUGCAAAACGGAUAAGAGAAUAUUCUGUGGAUUUCUGAUGAAGUUUGGACAUUUGGCCAAAUCCAUUCAUUCCGAGGACAAGAAGCGCUGCGCGGUCGCAACGUUUUCGAUCUCUUGGUUGAUUCUUUGUUAGGCCUAUUGCUUUAUUGCUGUGGUGCGAGGAAAUAUAUUCUAUUACCAGCGUAGUGUUACGUAAGAGUGGCGUUAUCCAAGGUGCUGAACUGGACGUUAUAACGGGACACAAGGCAAGGGAAGAGAGCAAUCUUGCUGAAAUAAGUUCUUCAGGUGGUCGACUACACGGGGAGAAAAUGUCGGGGCAGACGCUCACGGAUCGUAUUGCCGCUGCGCAGUACCAGUUGACGGAUCAGAGGUAUCUCGCGCCGUCUGCAAAGCCACCACUCAUGAGGUGAUGGCGCCCAAGAAAAAGCACCUGGAAUAUCUGAUCUCAGCCACCAAUGCGACCAAUGUGAACAUCCCUCAGAUGGCUGACACUCUGUUUGAGAGGGCCACCAACGCCAGCUGGAUUGUCGUCUUCAAGGCCCUCGUCACCACACACCAUAUGUGUGUCCAUGGCAAUGAGAGGUUCAUCCAGUACUUGGCCUCCAGGACCGCUCUGUUCAACCUCAGCAACUUUAUAGACAAAACAGGUUCCAACGGCUAUGACAUGUCUACGUUCAUCAGACGUUAUGGCCGCUACCUCAAUGAGAGGGCCUUCGCCUACCGCCAGAUGGCUUUCGACUUCACCAAAGUCAAAAAGGGUGCUGAGGGGGUGAUGAGGACAAUGACUCCAGAAAAGCUGUUGAAAGGCAUGCCUGUCCUGCAGACCCAGAUCGACACACUGCUGGAGUUUGACGUCCAUCCCAAGGAGCUGAAUAACCCUAUCAUCAACGCAGGGUUCCUGCUGCUCUUCAAGGAUCUGGUCAAGCUGUUUGCCUCCUAUAACGAUGGGGUCAUCAAUCUAUUAGAGAAAUACUUUAAGAUGAAGAAGAGCGACUGCAAGGAGGCCUUGGAGAUCUAUAAGAGGUUCCUGACCAGGGUCACCAAGAUCGGAGAGUUCAUGAAGCUCGCUGAGACUGUCGGAGUGGACAAAAAUGAUAUUCCUGACAUCAACUAUGCUCCCAGCAGCAUCCUGGAGUCUCUGGAGACACACAUGAACAGUUUGGAGGGGAAGAAGGGUGAAGGGUCUCCAACAAAGGGGUCCCCUACCAAUAACGUGUCCCCGACCUCCACCCCCGCCAAAUCUGCAGCCGCCGUGCCCACCCUAGCACCGCCACCUGAAGAAGCCACCGAUUCUCUCUUAGAUCUGGACCCUCUCUCCUCCUCUGGUCCGUCAGUAGGAGCCUCAGCAGCCCCUACGUCCUGGGGAGACCUCCUUGGAUCAGAAAUGGGCGAGUCCAUGCUUCCUGACCCCACCUUAGCUGUAGAACCCGUCCCCUCUCCCGCUGGUGUAACGUCCACCCCUGCAGCUGCGGAGCCAGGAGUCUCUCUGGCUCUCCUCCCCCUAAUGCGGCCGCGGCCGCUGCCCCCACCCCCCGGCGCAACGAAUAUGGAUCUGCUGGGAGAUGCAUUUUCGACCCCUGUUCCCACCUCUGAUGCCUCUGCUGAGGGCGGAGCUCCGGCCUCCACGCCAACCCCAGCCGCUGACGCUGCUGCCGACCCCUUUGCCCCCUCUGGUGGUAGCUCAGAAGCAGUAGGCCCAGGGCUGGACCUGUUUGCCAUGAUGCCUAUGGAGAACAACUGCUUUAACUCAGGGGCGCCCCCUUCUGCCCCCUCAUCCACCAUCACAGCACCUAUCACCCCCACCACCCCAUCGAUAGACCUCUUGAGUGCUAUGUUUGAUUCCAUGCCAGAUCCAAGCUUCACCAAAGCAGACCUUACCCCCAGUGUUGACAUGUUUGGAGCAGACUCCACUGGUGGAGAGACCAAGCCUGCUGCCCCUCCAGCUGCCUCUGGUGCUGAGCUGAUGGCAGCGUUUGAUGGUCUAGGGGAUGUGUUGAUGCCUUCUAUGACGCCCCAGGCCGGGGCAGCCUCGUCUCCAGUCAAACCUAUGGGAGGAGACCUGGACGCCACCAUGGCUAGCAUGGCUAGCAAUCUGGGAAUGGGGAGCCAAAAACCGGGGGAGAACACGAUGGGAGGCUGGUCAACUCCUCAGGUAGCUCCUCCCAGUUGGGGCGCUCCCAUGAACGUUCCAAUGGGGUCCCCUUCUUUUAUGGGGUCUAACCAAGGAUUCAGCAUGGGCGGAGCGGUCGGGGCUGGAGCUCCCAUGAUGCCCAUGGUUAGGCCAGGCUUUGGAGCCCCUGCAACCCCAGGAGCACCGAUGGGAUCUCCAGGGAUGGCCGGGAGUCCGAGGAGGCCUCCGCCCCCCAAGAAUGCCCUGGAUGACCUCAACAUCAAGGACUUCAUGUAAACCCCUCUAACCCUCCAAGAGGUUGUCGUUGUGUCUGGAGCUCUAUGGAUGUGGAUGUGUGCACUCCCCGCCUUCCUGUCACGCCCAAGUCCCUUCAGCCAAUCAGCCAUCAGCAUUACGACCCCUGCCCUCUGACUUCCCCGUAACCCCGCCCUCCCUCUCUGUCUGAUGUUUUAGCACAAACCGUGGAUGUGAAUCAUAAAUACAGAAAACAAAAAUGUGUAUGUGUGUGAGUGUACUUCAAUGUUAUCCUUUACUUAAAUUAAGACAAAAAAUGUAACAUAAAAAAUGAUAUUGUAUUUUGAAUCAUUCUGGUACUCCCUGAAAGAGCUGAGUUGGAAUGUGUUGUUAAACAUGGAGUGUGUUCGGUGUGUGUAAACCUCACUGGCCAAUCCCUGCCCUAUCCCCUCCCUUGCUGUCCAAUCAAAUUCUGUACUGAGCUGUGUUGCUGAGGUUAUUCAACACUUAGUUGUACUUCUCUCCAUUCAUUGAUCCAUCCAGCCUCUUAUACAGUUCUAUGGGUGUAUAUUGAUGAAAAUUCAAAUAUGUAUCAUCACAAAUCUGGGUUUACGAGAUGACGAAUCAUAUGACAACUUCCAUUUUCCAUUCAAUUCAUAUUUGUUUUUAUUUUGUCCGUUUUUUAAAAUUGUGUGUUACAUGCAACAUUUGUUGACUAUGUUCAAAUUGACAUAUGCGUUUUUGAAUAUUUUAAAUGAUAGAUUAUACAUAUAUUUCUUUAAUCUUUAUUUUGAGAGAAAAUGUAUCGUAUAUUUUAAUUAUGUCUAUGAAUUGUAAGAUUGAAAAAAAUGUAAGAAGAUUCAAAAAAGAUCCUUUCCCUUGUACAGUAUCUCCCUAUCUGUAUUUGAAGGCAGUAUUGAAUGCAAACUCAGUCCCAGUGUUUACUGUUGCACUCCCUGGUGGUGUGAAGUGGUACUGCAUUUAAGCAUGUCAAGUGAAGUUGAUCAUCCAAAUACUUUAAAAAAUCAAAAUAUACUUGUCUCCUUUCCUUAACGGCCAAUUAUCUGAAUUGAAUCGAUAGAUGAAAGGCAGUCCUUACACCUAUCAGUGGUCAUGGAGUGAAUGAGACAAGGAAAUGUUUGUAAACAUUAUUGGGGCACUUCCACAAGGUCAUUGUGAUGCAGUGAUCAGUACGGUUGUAUCGUCCCCUGUAGCAACACUCCAGGGGUGUUGCGAACUAAUUGGCUGUAAAGGUUUCAUAUAUACACUGGAUGUUCCAUGUGUUGUUUCUCUUCCAAAGUGACUAUCUUAAUGUGUUGAGAAAGAAAAAGAUACAGAACAUGUAUCAUAUAGAAUAAUGUGGAUAACAAUGUUUGCUAUAUAUUUGGUUGAAGGCGGUGUUGUUUGGUUCUUGGAUGGCAUCACUCCUCUCCUGUCCCCCACUUGCAUGUGAGUCCCAUUGAGAUGCAAUAAAAUUCAAAUACGCUGA